UGAGGAAUAUUGGUCAAUGGGCGGGGAGCCUGAACCAGCCAAGUCGCGUGAGGGAAGACGGUCCUAUGGAUUGUAAACCUCUUUUGUCGGGGAGGCAAAGAGGCCACGUGUGGUCAAAAGCGAGAGUACCCGAAGAAAAAG
rnacentral:rRNA from 1 species